UAGCUGAUGGUAAAUCAGACUCC
rnacentral:piRNA from 1 species